AUUGAACGUUGGCGGAAUGCUUUACACAUGCAAGUCGAACGGUAGAGGGGGCAACCCCCUUGAGAGUGGCGAACGGGUGAGUAAUAUAUCGGAACGUGCCCGGUCGUGGGGGAUAACGUAGCGAAAGCUACGCUAAUACCGCAUACGAUCUACGGAUGAAAGCGGGGGAUCGCAAGACCUCGCGCGAUUGGAGCGGCCGAUAUCAGAUUAGGUAGUUGGUGAGGUAAAGGCUCACCAAGCCGACGAUCUGUAGCUGGUCUGAGAGGACGACCAGCCACACUGGGACUGAGACACGGCCCAGACUCCUACGGGAGGCAGCAGUGGGGAAUUUUGGACAAUGGGCGCAAGCCUGAUCCAGCAAUGCCGCGUGCAGGAUGAAGGCCU
rnacentral:rRNA from 1 species